GCCACGCAGCAGAUCACCAGGUCGCCUUUGCCCCCGUCAGCCUCGGUCAACUCCGCUUUCAGAGUCCGAAGCCCCUCAGCCGAGCGAGCCGCCAGGACAAAGGCCGACCCGGGCUUCAAGACCCGAGAGAUCGUCUUCGCUGCAGCCCGACCGAAUCCCCUGGAGGCUCCGGUGAUGAUGCACAGGGCUCGGCCCAAGUCGGCGUUGUUAUCGGCCUGCAUGAUGCUGCAACUGACGGACUGAAGUGGCGCAACCGACUGUGUACAUUUAAAGGUGACCGGCAAGGUGGCUGAGCUGGGAGCGCACCAGAUAUGUUACAAGGAUUUCAUGGCAACAGAGUGGUGUCAGACCCACCUUGAGGAGGUUCCCAGGGCUGUUAUGAGAGCCUGGAGAAGACCAGCGAUGAAGAUGAAGGGGUUUUGACGUGUGAUGACAAAGUACAGAGUGGGCAAGAUGAUGAUGGCGUGGAUCAUCAAUCCAAUGAUGACGGUGAUGGUGUACAUGCCCAGCUGACCGCCCAUCUGAGUCAGAUCAUCCAUCUCUACUAUCUUUCCUGCUAUCAGGAACAAGAUGCCAAUGGGGGCGUACCUGAUGUCAUAAGAGGAAAUAGUUAAAUGAGGGGCUGCUGGUCCAGCCUGCAACGAAAUCAAGAUCUUACCACAUGAUGAUGGCUACAAGGCGCAUGAUGGCCUCGUUGAGGCUGUCGAAGAAGUCUCUCAAGAGUUGGCCCUGCUCCUUCAUGUUCCCGAUUAUCAGUCCGAAACACAUGGAGAAGACGACCAGCCCCAGAGCGUUGACCCCAUACACCUGACCUGGUAUGGGGAUCACCUCCUCUCGCGUGAGCUCCAUCACCUCCUGGGUGCCGUUGGUUGAGUUGAACAAGGUGUCGUUGACUGUCACAGUCACGUGGACCGCGCGCUUCCCAUACUUGGUUUUGAACUGAAUUGUAAGAGAUGAAGGCACAUGUCGGAGCAGGAACACUGUAAGCUUAAUUCAUUGAUCUGCUUACCUGCUGUGUGCAAGCUUGCACCAGGUUGGGGGGAAACAUGUUCCUGAAGCGACAACAAAGCUCAGACGUCAUGAUCAAACUUUGCUCUUCUUUCGCCCUUUUAUGCUCAUACGAUUCUCUACCUGAUCAGAUCCAAAAAGGCAUCAGCAGGACUGACUUGCUCGAUGGUUUGCUGCUUCCCAAACUCCUCCUUGGAUCCUUUUCCGGGGUGGAUGAUUAGAACAAUUAAUAUUCCGAUGAAGACGGCGAUGAAGGUUGUUGUCAUGUAAUAAAUGACCGCUCUGAUUCCCAUCUUCCCUGAAGCUUUGCUGUCCAGUGCUGCCAUCCCUGAUGAAGAAAAAUGAGUAUUUCAUGUUGCUAUUUUCAGCAUGUGUGGAACACAAUGAAGAUUUGAAACUAUCAUAAAUGUUUCUAGAUGUAUAUCUUUAAGCACAGCAACUAUUAAUCAUUAGGUCUGGGAUGAAAUCUGUAUGUUUUACAUGUGUGAUGUCUUGUUACACACAUGAUUUCAUGAUGAUUUUGGUGUAUUUUGCAGCAUUGUAUCAUCUCAUACUACAUCUACUAUACUAUAUUGCCAAAUAUUUUACCUUAAACAGAAUGAAAAUGUUCCAUUCUAUUAUAUCCACUAUAUAUUCUAUUCUGAGUCUCAGAUGGAGAUGCAAGGUCUUGACUGUUACCUCUGUUUUCUAUUCAUGUCAAGCGUUUUUCCAAAAAUUUAAUUCUACUAAGAAAAAAAGAAUGAUAAUAAGUAAAGAAUGUCUUUUGUACUAAUGGGGUUUGGCAGUCAGUAGAUGAUGUAUGUAUGAUGUACUUAUAAUUAUGAUGUUGUAUAAUUACCUACAAAACUCACAAAACGUCAGAAUCAUGUACCUGUAAUUAGACUGGAGACCAGCAGGGGCAGCACUAGCAUCUGAAGCAUCCUCAUCAACAGCUCACCAGGGAAUGAAAAGUACUUGAUUUCUCGAUAGGUCAUCUUGUAGGGACGCAACGCGAAGCCCAGAAUAAUCCCUGUGGAGAGAAUUAUCGCUUGGGAUUUAUUUCGCUUUCUUCUAACUAUCCAGAUCAUUUAUCGGAUGUUCGAUACGAACCCACAACAACUGCACAAACUGUAAAAAGCACAAAUGCAUUUUUCUUGAGGAAAGCUUGGAUGUCCUCUUUGGAUAUCUCCUCCACUUUCCUCUUGGCCUUCAUGGUGCGGAUGUGUAUCCCUUCCCUGAUCCGCUGCAUCCUGCUGGAGGGAACCAAAGGGUUCGGGUUAAUGUGAAAGCAGAGGUUAAAGUGCAGAAGUCGGCAUAGUUUGGUGAAGGAUAUCAUUUCUGCAGCUCGACUUUUAGAUGUUUUGGCAGGGGACAUUACACCCCACUUCCUCAGUGAGUGUUGCCACAUCACAGCCUUGCCAUUAUGAAAUACAUUUCUGAGCCAUUAACCUCGAUGUGUUUUUGGAGCCCAAAAACAGACACCAGCACACGUGAACUACUGCUGCGACUGUUACUACCACAAAUGCUGCUGAUAAUAAUAGUUAACAUCAGUAGAAUAUUUAAAUAGCGCCAAUAACAUAUAGUUUUGAUGUUAAGCUAAAAUUUAAAUACCGUUUUAUGUAGACAGAGUAGUCCUGACCAAAUUUUAGCCUUUUCUUCGAGCUUGGACCCAUCUGAAGAGCCUGACUUGCAUGGGUGGGUCAACAUGUCUAUGAUGUUGCCUGGCACCAGCCCAAAUGGUGUUUUUUUUUUAAAUAAAAUUUCAAAAACGGACCGCAAAGAAUUCUGUGAAGCAAAAACCUGAGCGAUGCGACAUUAGUACGAGUGAGAAGCCUGACUGCUGAGUUCAAGAUCAGAUGAAGUGAUAGUGAUGAGGAGGUAGUUACAGUAGUAAAGAUGUGUAGGGUUUGUGACUUUCAUAUGGAAACUUAAUAUAAAAAGUUUGACGCAUGCAGAUGGUCAGCUGUCCCAUGGCUCAGUCAGUCAUCAGAAAUACAGAAUGUAUCGAUCACCUACCUUUGCUUGGAAUUCUUGAAUAGAACGGUGAGUGAAUGAAGCGACUCCUU